CUCGACUUCCUGGGCUCAAGCAAUCUGCCCACCUCAGCCUCCCGAGUAGCUAGGACUACAAGUGUGCUCCAUGACACCUAGCUAAUUUUUGUAUUUUUAGUAGAGACAGGGUUUCACCAUGUUGCCCAGGCUGGUCUCAAACUCCUGGGCUCAAGCAAACCACCCACUUCAGUCACCCAAACUGCUAGAAUGACAGGCGUGAGCCGCUGUGUCCAGCCUGUCCGUCAGUUUUUAAAUAAACAUAUAGAAAGAUAAUAAAAGAAAGUAUCCUUCAUUUAUGCCCUAAUCAGGAGUCUCAAUUUUCUCACAUGCUUUAUUAAAAUGUUCUAAAAUGUCUUUUCAAAUAUACUUCUCAACUUCAGAAUAUUCUUUUCCUAUUAACAAAAACAUAUGACCAUGUGAACACACUGUUGGAACCUCUCUGUGGGCCUUGGAUUGGCCUAUACAUGUGAUGGGCUCUGACAUGUAAAUUUCAUUCAUUUCAUGGAAAUUCUCAUCUAAAUGCUGUCACUCCAAAAUCUUGGUACAGAUAGGAGAAGUCAGGGAAAUAAAUACCUCAACCUCUCUCUAUUGCUGCUGCCUUCUAUUGGCCAAACCCAACCAGAAUUCAGAGGGUAAGGAAGAUUUAAUGAUGCAGUUUGUCUAAGGCAGCCUCCUGGGUCAUAGAGCAGGGCCAAGGAUUAAAGACCAGGUCUGGAGGGCUGAACAGAGAAUAAGAAAAGCAGUUAAUUGUCUUUGAAUAACUACUGUCUUCUAAAACUUCUAUUUUGCAGCAUUUAUGCCUUAUUUCGGCCUUCUGUGCUUGUGUUCAUAGAGAAGAAAAGCAAAAUAAAGAAUAUGAUUGGCACUUACUCACAGAAAUCACUUCCUCAAGAAGCACCUGCUAGCCUAAGAAUAGUAAACAAAGCAAGUAUCUCCUGAACAAGGAAAAACAAUGAUUCUCAUCUGUAACUACUAUCAACUAAAAUCAAAUUUUUUAAAGACUCACUACUGAGAAGUGACAGCUACUGAAACUUCAAAUGAACAAUUAUGACAUGCAAAAAUAAUAAUAAUAAUAAAGUCACAUUCUACAAACAUCUGCCUACAGAAAAAUUCAUAGCCUUCAAGUGGACCAUGCAAUCUGAUGCUCUGAAAUGUGACCCAGACACACAAAAGCUGCCUUUAAAACAGAACACAUACCGGGCACAGUGGCUCACGCCUGUAAUCCCAGCACUUUGGGAGGCCGAGGCAGGUGGAUCACGAGGUCAGGAGAUCGAGACCAUCCUGGCUAACACGAUGAAACCGUGUCUCUACUAAAAAUACAAAAAAUUGGCCGGGAGUGGUGGCACGCACCUGUAGUCCCAGCUACUCGGGAGUCUGAGGCACAAGAAUUGCUUGAACUCGGGAGGCGGAAGUUGCAGGUCACACUAAGGCACUCCAGCCUGGGAGACAGAGCAAGACUCUGUCUCAAAAAUAAAAUAAAAUAAAAUAAAAUAAAAUAAAAUAAAAUAAAAUAAAAUUGGAACACAGUAACACUUUGUGGCUCCAGGUUAUCUUUUGCAAAAGAUUUGCCAGCAGCAAAAUACAUAACGAAUCUGAGUCUGAACUUAAGAAUCUGAAACUAACAGGUGAUACAGAGAAGCCCAAAUGGACCUCUUCAUAAAGAAACCAGGGAGAAAAUUUUUGCAAUCUACCCAUCUGACAAAGAUCUAAUACUUAGAAUCUACAAGGAACUUAAACAAAUUUACAAGAAAAAAAACAAACAACCACAUCAAAAAGUAGAUGAAGGAUAUGAACAGAAACUUCUCAAAAAAAGACAUUUCUGUGGCCAACAAACAUAUGAAAAAAAGCUCAUCAUCACUGGUCAUUAGAGAAAUGCAAAUCAAAAUGACAAUGAGAUACUAUCUCAUACUAGUUAGAAUGGCAAUUAUUAAAGUCAGGAAACAAUAAAUGCUGGCGAGGCUGUGGAGAAAUAGGAACGCUUUUACACUGUUGGUGGGAGUAUAAAUUAGUUCAACAUUUUGGAAGACAGUGUGGCGAUUCUUCAAGUUUCCAGAGCCAGAAAUACCAUUUAACCCUGCAAUCCCAUUAC
rnacentral:lncRNA from 10 species